GACAGAGGGUGCAAACGUUGUUCGGAAUUACUGGGCGUAAAGCGCGUGUAGGCUGCUCAGAAAGUCGGAUGUGAAAGCCCUGGGCUUAACCUAGGAAGUGCAUUCGAAACUUCUGAGCUUGAGUUCUGGAGAGGAAGGCGGAAUUCUCGGUGUAGAGGUGAAAUUCGUAGAUAUCGAGAGGAACACCGGUGGCGAAGGCGGCCUUCUGGACAGUGACUGACGCUGAGACGCGAAAUCGUGGGGAGCAAACAGG
rnacentral:rRNA from 1 species